rnacentral:rRNA from 1 species
UAAACUAGGAUUAGAUACCCUAUUAUUGGAAAUGUAAAUUAUUCGCCUGAGUAGUAGUAGUUAUGUUCUUGAAAUUCAAAGGAUUUGGCGGUAUUGUAGUCUAUUCAGAGGAACCUGUCCUGUAAUUGAUGAUCCACGUUUAAUUUUACUUGUUUAAUAGGUUUGUAUAUCGUCGUAGUUGGAAUGUUUUAAGAGAAACCGGAAUGUUCACGAUGUUUAAAAAGAACAGGAAAUCAGAUCAAGAUACAGCGGAUAGACAAGGAGAGAUGGGUUACAAUAAAUUUAUUUAUAUGGAAAAAUAAGUUAACACUAUUUUGAAAUUGGAUUUGAGAGUAAUAUGGUUUAGUUAAACUUUAUGAUUUAAGCUCUAUAAUAUGCACAUAUCGCCCGUCGCUCCCACUCUAAAGUGGGAUAAGUCGUAACAAAGUAGGUGUACUGGAAAGUGUACCUAGAACGACAAGUUAGAGCUUGUUACAAAGCAUUUUAUUUACAUUAAAAAGUUAGUUGUGAAACUCAAUUUAGCUUGAUAGCGAAAGGCUUAUUUUUAUAAUUUUAUAUAAAGUAUUAUUUUUGUUAGUAUUUUUUUGAAUACAAAUAUUUAUGUUAUAGUUGAUUAGUACAGUGAUGGUACGUUGAAUAGAAUGAUAUAUUUAAUUUUUGAUAAGAAGACCUAUUUUGUUGUACCUUGUGUAUCAGGGUUUAUCAAAAUAGGUUUUAUAUUAAGUGUUCUCGAAUUGGAAAGAGCUAAUAUUAUAUAUAUAUAAUUGUAACAUAAAUUUUUAUAAUAUAAUAUUUGUAGUGAAACGUUAUUCGUUUUCUAAUAUAUCUAGUUUCUUAAGAAAUAAAUUCAAUUUAGUUUGUUACUUUAAUAGUGUUAAUUAUUUAAUUAUAUUAAGUAAUGAGGAAAUAUCACGAGGGAUAAGCUUCGUGGUAAAUUAUUAUAGUUUAUAAGUUAUUUAAAGGUAAGUAGGAUUGGAAUUGUCUAUCAAUAGGAUGUUACAAUGAACUUUUAUUAAAAUAAGAUUUGUAUUUUACUUAAGUUGUUUAUUAAGAUAAUAUUUUGAAUUAGUUAUGGUAUGUAAUAAUGAUAGAAUUAGUAUAUUUAUUUGUUUGUUUAUAUAAAAGUGAAAGGUUAAGCUAAGGAACUCGGCAAAAGAGUUUUUCGCCUGUUUACUAAAAACAUGUCUUUUUGAUUAUAAUUUAAAGUCUAACCUGCCCAAUGAGUAGUUGAAUGGCCGCGGUAAUUUGACCGUGCAAAGGUAGCAUAAUCAUUAGUUUUUUAAUUGGAAGCUGGAAUGAACGGUUGGACGAGAAAGCGACUGUCUCAGUUUAAUUAUUAUCAGAACUUUAUCUUUGAGUAAGAAAGCUCAAAUUUUUUUAAAAGACGAGAAGACCCUAUAGAAUUUUAUAUUAAUGUUUAUAGUGUAUUUUAUAGAAUUUUUAAGUUACUAUAUGCAAAGAUAUUUUGUUGGGGCGGCAGAAAAAUUAGUAGAACUUUUUUUAGACUAAAACAUAGAUUUAUGGGUGUGUGAUCCAUUGAGUAUGAUUACAAGAUUAAAUUACCUUAGGGAUAACAGCGUUAUUCUUUUUGAGAGUUCUUAUCGAAAAAAGAGUUUGCGACCUCGAUGUUGGAUUAAAAUUAACUUUUGGUGUAGGGGCUAAAUGGUUAGGUCUGUUCGACCUUUAAAAUUUUACAUGAUCUGAGUUCAAAACCGGAGA